rnacentral:rRNA from 1 species
UGGGGAAUCUUGCACAAUGGGCGAAAGCCUGAUGCAGCAACGCCGCGUGCGGGAAGACAGCCCUAGGGUUGUAAACCGCUUUCAGCAGGGAAGAAACUGACGGUACCUGCAGAAGAAGAUGCGGCCAACUACGUGCCAGCAGCCGCGGUGACACGUAGGCAUCAAGCGUUAUCCGGAUUUAUUGGGCGUAAAGAGCUCGUAGGCGGUUCGGUAAGUCGGGUGUGAAAAUCCAAGGCUCAACCUUGGGACGCCACCCGAUACUGCUGUGACUCGAGUGCAGUAGGGGAGCAGGGAAUUCCUGGUGUAGCGGUGAAAUGCGCAGAUAUCAGGAGGAACACCAGUGGCGAAGGCGCUGCUCUGGGCUGUAACUGACGCUGAGGAGCGAAAGCAUGGGUAGCAAAACAGGAUUAGAUACCCUGGUAGUCCAUGCCGUAAAACGUUGGGCACUAGGUGUGGGUCUCAACCAACGAGAUCCGCGCCGUCGCUAACGCAUUAAGUGCCCGCCUGGGAGUACGGUCGCAAGAUUAAAACUCAAAUGAA